ACACCCUGUAUACACACACACAUAAUGUGUAUUUAUGUGUAUAUGUAUAGGCAAUUUCUUUUAAUCAAACUCUCAUUGAUAUUUAUUCGUUUGAACUAACAACAUGCGAAAUGAUCAAGUACUGGUUGUGUCAUUUGGGGCUACUAAUUUGUCAAAACCACUGUAGAACAUGAAUUUCUUUAUAAUUCAACCUCCAUUUGUCAAGCAACUUUUUAGAAACAGUUUUCAUGGAUCCUCUGUUCAAUUUUCUGUUAACAGUAUGGUUAUCUAUGAAGACUGUAAUAUUUCCUAAUCUAAAUAAUUUAGGAAUUAUACCUUCAUUAUAUUCUUCAGACCCAAUGACUUCAUUUUACAUUGAUGUUCCCUUCUACGUUUUACAUGUUGUAAAAAAAGUGCUUAAGCCUUCUUUCACAUCUUACUGACAUUGCUUCAGUAUAUCUAACUGUUUAUAUAGUUCCACUACAAAAGUAGCAUUGCAGAAUUUAACAACAUACUUGUAGUUGCCAUUUUUAUUGAAACAUCCCUUUGGAAAUUCUUCAAAUCUUUAAUUGCUAAUUCCAUUGAAAGCAGUUUUAUAUAAAUGAUUGAAAUAAUUAUCAGCUGAUUCAGUCAGCCACAAGAGAGUUGAUGCCAGCCGCAAAAGCAUCACAUAUUAGCAGUUGUCUUGUUGUUCAGCAGUAAAGAUAUUUACCAAACAUUUCUUCCCCAAAGGCUCUGAAUUCAGUCAUUAAUGCAUCUAUUGAUUGAUUCUUAUGCUGUUUAUAUUUUCUGAUUUUGAAUCUGCUCUUAUCCUUUUUAGCAUAUUUACUUUUUGAGGUAUUGAUUACAUGACAUCUCUGGCAGCAUUAACAAAGGUGAAUGCUAUAGGGUCUUGCAAUAAAAGCUAAUAACAUUAGAAAUAAUCUAGGUCGUUUUUCUAUGUAUAUCUGUAACUUUUUUUCCCCAACAGGUGAUGGUUUUAUGACAGUAUAAUACCACAUUUAAAAAGAAAAUUGAAUUCAUUAUACUUUCAUAACUAAUCAUUUGCAAACUAAAAACUAUAGAUGUCACAGAUAUAUAUAUGUGUGUGUGUUCAUUUAUAUAUAUAUAUAUAUAUAUACACACACAUACACACAUAUAUGAGAGAGAUAGAGAUAGAUACACACACAUAUAUAUAUCCACACAUAUAUAUGAAGGAAGUAUUUAGCAAUGAUUAUAACAAUGAAUAGUUAUUAUUAAAAUAUUUAUUAUAUUCUCUGACAAAUAAAAGCAGAAAUUGUUAACUUCCUUUCUUUAAUGACUUAGAAGAGGAAGGACAGCAUCUACCACCCUUUUUUAGGGCCUCUCAGACUGGUGGAAAGAAAAGAGUAAGUUACCUUUAGGCCAAAUAUCUGGUCUGAAUUAUUGCAAUAAUAAAAGCAGUCAAGAGCCAAAAAGCUGUGUUAAACCAUUUGACUGAUGAUACUUUUGAAAGACACUAUAUAGUUGUCAAGCAAACUUAGCAGCACGGCUACUACUACAAUUACCUGUAAAAACGAUAUGGGUGUUGUUUCUAGCACAUCUAAAGAUGCCCCUCCUCAUUUCUUUAUCACUCUCACAUGUAUGAAUGUUUUUCAAUAUUUUUUCCCCCAUAAGGCGGUGAGUUGGCAGAAAUGUUAGCAUGCUGGGCAAAAUGCUUAGCGGUAUUUCAUCGCCUUACGUUCUGAGUUCAAAUUCCGCUAAGGUCGACUUUGCCUGUAAUCAACUUAAUCUCUUUGUCUGUCCUUGUUUGUCCCCUCUAUGUUAUGCCCCCUUUGGGCAAUAAAUAAAUAAAUAUUUUUUCCCCAUAAGAUGGUUAGCUGGCAGAAAUGUUAGCAUGCUGAGCGAAAUGCUUAGUGGUAUUUUGUCUGUCUUUAUGUUCUGAGUUCAAAUUCUGCCAAGUUCGACUUUGUCUUUCAUCCUUUCAGGGUUGAUAAAUUAAGUAUCAGUUGUGUACUGGGGUCCAUCUAAUUGACUGGCCCAUCCCCCAAAAUUUCGGGCCUUGUGCCUUGAGUAGAAAAGAAUAUUUUCCCCCCAUAAAUAUAUCUAUAUGCUAUAAAAAACGAAAAUUUGAGAAAUUAUGAACUUUUUGCAACCCCACUCCCUGCCCCUGAUUGUUUCUGUCUAGAAUUAAAAAUAUUGGAGAGCCUGAGAAGGUCAUUGCUGGCAUUUAUCCGCAGGGAUUUUAAAAAAUUACAGAGAUGUACUUGCAUAGCAAGUGACUUGAUCUGAGAUUGUGUGCUGAAACUAAAACAAUUGCAGCAUGGAAGAUGUUUGUAAACCAUUCAAGAACACAUAAAUACCAUUAGAUUCACUUCAAUAUUAAAACUUCAUUUGUGUCAAAAUAUUUUCAUUGCUUUGAAACCAUGACCUGUUCACUGACAAAGCUUCACAAAAGUGAUGCAAGAUGAAGUUUAGUCAGAGAACAGCACACAUACACAUAUGCAUGCACACAUGCACACACACACACACACACACACAUUCAUUGCCUUUCAUUUGCAUGUGUAUGUGUAUCUAUGUGUGCAUGCGAGUGUGUAUUGGUGUGUGUGUAUCACUGUUGAAGUUGUGUUUGGAAACUGAAUAAGGUGCAAGUUUUGAGUACGUGUGGGUAACUUUUUAUUUUUUCCUUCGUCUUCUAAUAGUGAUUAGCCAACUUUCUAGGCUCUUCUCACAGCUAUCCCACAUUAAAAAUUAUACAGGUAUUUAAAAAAAAUUUCAUUCAGUAAAUAAUGUUUUUAUAUUACAUAUACAGUAAUAGUGAGUUAAAACUUAAAAGAGAAAGUGAGAGACUUCGCUAAUGGAAAUGGAAUACUCCGCAGUGAAUGCAAUGAAUAUCUAAAUUUGUGAUGAAUUGGACACAGUGAAUAUUUAUAUUUGCGAGAAAUUGGAGUUAAAAAAAUUCAAUAAACUCAAGAAAUAGAGAUUAUAGGAAAUUUCUUAGUACAUGAAUUUAUAAAAAUAUUUCCGGAUGGUCAACCCUUUAAUAAUUGCUUUCUUUUAGUAAUUGUUACAUACCUAAUUAAUUAGCAGCUUUCUCCAUUAUAAUAUUGUUGUUGUUUGUUCCUCCUCGAGCCACACCUGGCUCAUUAGGGCCGAUUUCCUUGGCGUAUAGGUUCCCUACCUGGACAGGAUGCCAGUCCAUUGCAGGUGAGCUGUACGAUGCAGGAGGAAAGAAUGAGAAAAAGUUGUGGUGAAAGAGUCAGCAGAAGUUCGCCAUUAACUUCUGCUGGAGCCGCGUGGAGCUUAGGUGUUUUGCUCAUAAACACACACAUCACCCGGUCUGAGAUUCAAACCUGCGAUCCCUCAACCACGAGUCCACUGCUCUAACCACUAGGCCAUGUGCCUCCACCCAUUAUAGUAUAGAUAUACAUACAUACAUGCAUGCAUACAUACAUACAUACAUAUCUCUCUCUCUCUCUAUAUAUAUAUAUAUAUGUGUGUGUGAGUGUGUAUACAAUGAGCUUCUUUCAGCUUCCAUCUACCAAAUCCACUCUCAAGGAUUUGGUCAGUCCAAUGCUAUAGUAGAAGACACUUGCCCAAGGUGGUAUGCAGUGGAACUGAACCCGGAACCAUGUGGUUGGGAAGCAAGCUUCUUGUCACACAGUCACACCUGUGUAUAUGAAUUUAUACUUAUAUGCAAAUGUAUGUAUAUAUAUGCAUAUAUAUUUAUACACACAUACACAUAUAGCAGUAUAUUUAUACAAUGAAGAAGUUGGAUUACCUCCCCCCAUGGACAUCAUAGGCAAGUUUCUUUAGCUAUGUACUGGCACUAACUUGUGAGGGGAAUUUGACAAUGUAAGAAAGAUACUGUGUUGCUACCUUUGUUUGCCAUAAAGUAUUUUAUUAUUACAUUAGAAGGAAAGCUUCUGGAUGUCAUACAACAGUAUCUUGACUCUAUUGUAAUUAAAUCAUAAAUGUUAUUAUGUAAUUUUCCUAAGUCAAACAUGCCAUAGAAAUAUACAGAGUAUGUUUCUUACUGUUUCCUAUUUCAUCUUUUUCUCUUUAGCUAUUUGUUUCCUGUUUAAUUAUUUUUGUUGUGCCAUGUUAAAGGGUUCUUUAUGUGAACAUCAAUGGCUUUGUGUAUGAAAUUCAAUUUUAAAAAUGUUCUAGAAUCAAUCUUUCUUUUUUAACCAAGGUGUUUUGAAUCUUACUCAUUCUUUCUUUCUCUCUUUCUUUCUUUCUUUCUUUCUUUGACAUUGCUGCAAUUGAGCAUAAAUGACAUUCUGUGAAUGUUCCUAGUUACCUUGCUUUGCACAGGUAUUUUAUUCAUAUUGCUUUUAUUCAUUCAAUUGAAACACACACUUGUAUACUUCCUUUCUUGAUUCUGAAACAAUCAAAUAUUUUUAUCAAUUUGAAUUAGUUUACAUAUGUAACCAAUUAAAUGCUCCAUUUUACCUUUUCAUUAUCUCGAUGUUCUUUUUAAUGAUUUCUAUUUUUGUUGUUCACAUUCUGCUCGACAAUUAGAAUCAUGAAAUUUAAAAUAUGAUAUUUCAGCUUAAAUGUAUUUUGAUACUCUACCUUCAGUAUUUAGUACUCUAUUUGCUUUCCUUCUACUCUACACUGUAUACUUUGUGUUCAAGUGUUUUUAUAUAUCAUCAUCAUUGUCAAUUAACAUCUGCUUUCCAUGCUGGCAUAUAUAUAUAUAUAUAUAUAUAUAUAUAUAUCACCCCCCACCACCAAUACCAGUAUACCCCGUUCUCUCCAUCUACACCGGAUACACCUUACUCAUCUACACUGGGUACGCCCUACUCCCUCCUCCUCCCCCCACUACCACUUCUCCUCAUAUGCUUAAGACAAGCUGCUAGCGCCAUAGCUCAUCAACUGCCCACCGAUCUUACGCUUCCUCCUGACACUGCCUCAAUCCGACCAUCCCCUUUUAGUACCCUUCUCCUCAUAUGCUUAAGACAAGCUGCUAGCGCCAUAGCUCAUCAACUGCCCACCGAUCUUACGCUUACUGCCUCAAUCCGACCAUCCCCUUUUAGUACCCUCCCGCCUCGUCAAUCCGACCAUCCCCUUUAGUACCCUCCCGCCUCGUAAUAUCCUACGUUUUUAUUUCUUAGGAACCUACACCAACCCUUCCUGCCAUCGUUCCUCCUUACCCCAACCUUCCCCACUGGUUGCUCCCCUAUAUUACCCGCCUCAACUGGACCUCCCCAACUCAACUCUAGAAUAUCUGUAUUUCUUUCCUCUACCUAAUUACGUUACUCAGAGACGAUAACAAAUGUCCACUGCUAACACCAGCUCCUGCCCACGGCGUGGUCAGGUUGGAAGAGAGAUCAAAAGAAAAAUACCACGAAAACUAUCACCACCACUACAACCCUCCUCUUCUCAGGCGCCGAAUCCCCCUGUCCCCCCCACAUCUCCUUCCCAGUUUUCAGAGUUGGCACUAUCAAUGUUGGUACAUUGACAGGCAAGUCUAGUGAGAUUGUAGAGAUGCUAGAGAGAAGACAGGUUGAUGUAUGCUGCAUACAAGAGGUAAGAUGGAGAGAUGCUUCGGCUAGGGUCCUCACGGGCAAGGCACUUAGAUACAAACUCUACUGGCAAGGUAACGCGGAAGGUGUAGGGGGUGUAGGCAUUCUCCUUGCGGAGGAAUGGGUGGAUAAGGUCAUAGAGGUUGUCAGGGUUUGUGAUAGAGUGCUUAAGCUCAGGUUGGUCCUACAGAGUGGCACAGCUAUGAUUAUCUCAGCCUAUGCCCCACAAGCGGGACUACCAAAUGAUCAGAAGGACAACUUUUAUGAUACCCUUCUGCAGGCUACUUCAAAGACUAGUAACAAGGACCUCAUCUUUGUAGGUGGAGAUUUUAACGGGCAUGUUGGGCGGGAAUCGGGUAUCUUCACUGGGGUACAUGGUGGAUAUGGUAUUGGCACCAGAAACGAUGAGGGAACUAGACUACUGGAAUUCUGUGAUGCAUGUAACCUUUCAAUCUGCAACACUAACUUCAAGAAGCCAGUCUGCCACCUUAUAACUUAUCAGUCAGGAGACUCCGCUAGCCAAAUAGACUUCAUCCUCACCAGACAACGGGAUGCAGGGUUGCUCUUGAAUACAAAGACCCUCCCGGGUGAAGAAUGUAUCCCUCAGCAUAGACUAAUCAUCAGUGACUUUAAGCUUGAGGCCAGAAGGACUCCAAGAAACAAACCAAUCCAGAAAAGAAGGAUUUGGAGGCUAAAGAACCCUUCGCAUGGUCAGAAAUUUAGGGACAUACUCAUCAAGAAAUUUGAUGAGAGGGAAGAGGAGCUUCAGACGUCAGACAUAGAAGGUAGCUGGGAAUUCCUACGGGACAGCUUGUUGAGUGCCACAGACCAAGUUUGUGGAUGGUGCAAAGUCCCUUCCAGACCUAGAAUUACGUGGUGGUGGAAUAGUGCAGUAGAUAAAGCCAUCUGUGAAAAGAGACGGGCCUGGAAAGCCUGGAAGGAGGGGGCAGCAGGGAACUGUACCAGAUAGCCAAAAGGGAGGCUGGGCGGCAGGUAUACAUUGCCAAAGAUGUAGCAGAAAAGAAGAAGUUUGCCAAUGUCCAGCGUCGCGAGGAUCAAAGAGCUGAAGUAUUUCGGAUUGCCAGACAGUGUGUCAGAGAAAAUAGCGAUGUUAUAGGAGAGAAAUGUGUCCGCAUGGAUGAUGGGGCACUUGCUUUUACUACUAGUGAAAAGAAAGAGGCCUGGAGAAGCCAUUAUGAAAGACUGCUAAAUGAGGAGAAUGAAUGGGAGGAGGAGAGCCUGCCAAAUGUUGACCCAGUAGAGGGACCAGCUACCCGAAUAGACAGCUCCCUUGUAGAUAAGGCAAUUAAGGAUAUGAAACCAGGCAAAGCCCCUGGCCUAUCAGGAAUCACUGCUGAGAUGCUUAAAACAGCUGGCUAUGUGGGCCAUGCCAUAGUCACCCGCAUUGUAAACCAGGUAGUUCACAAUGGAGCCAUACCCAAUGACUGGUGCAGCAGUACCAUAGUCAACUGCUACAAGGGUAAGGGUGAUGCUCUAGAUAGAAAUAACUACAGAGGUAUCAAACUGUUGGACCAGGUGAUGAAGGUCUCAGAGAAGGUCAUAACCAAUCUCAUUAGGGAGAGAAUUUGUUUAGAUGAAAUGCAGUUCGGUUUUGUACCAGGUAGAAGCACCACUGAUGCUAUAUUCCUGGUCCGACAACUGCAGGAGAAGUACCUAGCUAAAGAUAAACCCCUCUACAUAGCUUUUGUAGACUUGGAGAAAGCCUUUGACAGGGUUCCCCGUUCCCUUAUCUGGUGGUCGAUGCGGAAACUGGAGAUUGAAGAAUGGCUAAUAAGGGCUGUACAGGCUCUAUACAGAGAGGCUGUUAGCAAGGUUAGGAUUGGCAACGAAUAUAGUGAAGAAUUCCGAGUAGAAGUAGGUGUGCACCAGGGCUCAGCCCUCAGUCCCCUUUUGUUCAUCAUAGUACUUCAAGCAAUAACAGAGGAAUUCAAAACGGGAUGCCCCUGGGAGCUCCUCUAUGCCGAUGACCUAGCUCUCAUAGCAGAAUCACUACCGGAACUAGAAGAGAAAUUUCGGGUAUGGAAGCAAGGGUUGGAAUCAAAGGGCCUUAGAAUAAAUGUAGCAAAGACCAAAGUAUUAGUAAGCAGCAAGAGGUACUCAACACACAUCCCCUCGGGUAGGUGGCCCUGCUCAACCUGUAGGAAAGGUACAGGUAGAAACUCCAUAAGAUGCACCCAAUGUAAGUUAUGGACACAUAAGAGGUGCAGCAACAUUAAAGGGAAAUUAACAGAUAAGAUAGCUUUCAUGUGCGGCAGAUGCACAGGGACAAUAGACACAACAGACACUCAGAAAACAGAUUCCAUCACACUCCAGGGAGAGAAACUAGAAGUAGUUGAUAGUUUCCGCUACCUGGGAGACCAAGUUAGUAGCGGAGGUGGAUGCACAGAGAGUAUCACUACUAGAAUACGAAUAGCCUGGGCAAAGUUCAGAAAGCUCCUACCCCUACUGGCAACAAAAGGCCUCUCCCUCAGAGCAAAAGGUAGAUUAUAUGAUGCAUGUGUGCGAACUGCCAUGCUUCACGGUAAUGAAACAUGGGCUGUGACUGCAGAAGACAUGCGUAGACUUGAAAGAAAUGAAGCUAGCAUGAUCCGCUGGAUGUGUAGUGUCAGUGUGCACGCAAAACAGAGUGUAAGUAUCCUGAGAGAAAUGCUGGAUAUAAGAAGCAUCAGAUGUGGUGUGCAAGAGCGACGCUUGCGAUGGUAUGGUCAUGUGCUGCGGAUGGAUGAAGAGAGAUGUGUGAAGAAGUGCCACUCCCAAACAGUUGAAGGUAUCAGGGGGAGAGGUAGACCCAGGAAGACAUGGGAUGAGGUGGUCAAGCAUGACCUCAGAGCAUUGGGCCUCACUGAGGCAAUGGCGAAGGACCGAGAUCUCUGGAGAUAUGCUGUGACUACAAAGACCCGGGCUGCUUUCUGCAGCAAUUCCACAUACCCCCUACCCAUUCUAAGUACCCCCCUACCCAUUCUAAGUACCCCCCUACCCAUUCUAAGUACCCCGGAUCCCCAAAGUACCCUGGAUCCCCAAAAUACCCCAAUCCCCAAAGUACCCCGGACCUCGUUGCCCCCGUGCCGCUGACACGUUAAAAUGCUCGAAUCCGAUCGUGACGAUGCCGGACCCUCCGGCCCCUGUGCAGGUGGCACGUAAAAAGCACCCAAUCCACUCACGGAGUGGUUGGCAUUAGGAAGGGCAUCCAGCCGUAGAAACUCUGCCAGAUUCAGACUGGAGCCUGGAGCGGCCCCUGGCUUCCCAGACCCGGUCAAACCGUCCAACCCAUGCUAGCGCGGAAAGCGGACGUUAAACGAUGAUGAUGAUGAUGAUGAUGAUGAUAUAUAUGUAAUAUAUUAUAUAUAUAUAUGUAAUAUAUUAUAUAUAUAUAUAUAUAAUAUUUAUAUAAUAUAUCUAUAUGAUAUAUAUAUAUAUAUAUAUAAUGUACAAGCAGUAUCGCCCAGCGUUGCUCGGGUUUGUUUCGACCCUUUAGAAUUGGAAGUUUUGAAAAGUAAAAAUUUUGCAUUGUGUAGCUUGUUAUUCUCUUUAAGUGAACAUUUUUCUGGUUGAAAUACACUGAAAAAUGGCGACACAGCAGUAAAAAAAUCGUAAAAAAUGGGGAUUUUCAUAGAAAAAAAGAACACCUUUUUGAUGUAAAUAAUUAUUUCUUCUACAGAAGGAGGAGCAAGCCUUCUUCUAUCAUCAUCUUAAUUUUGGUCAACUUGUGCCACAGGGUCUCGGAGGAGAUUGUGUUAGUUGAAGGCUACCAAACCUGCCAUACACAGACAACUUCAGCUUUAUAUAUAUAGAUAUAUAUAUUUAUAUAUAUAUAUACACACAAAUAUAUACAUAUUUAUAUUAUUAUCUAUAUAUAUAUAUUGCUCCAUAUAUAUAUAUAUAUAUAUAUAUAUAUAUAUAUAUAUAUAUAUAUAUAUAUAUAUAUAUAUAUAUAAAUGUGUAUAUAUUUGUAUAUAUAUAUAUAUAUAUAUAUAUAUAUAAAUGUGUAUAUAUUUGUAUAUAUAUAUAUAUAUAUAGAUAUAUAUAAAUGUGUAUAUAUUUGUAUAUAUAUAUAUAUAUAUAGAGAGAGAGAUAUAUAUAAAUGUGUAUAUAUUUAUAUAUAUAUAUAGAUAUAUAUAGAUAUAUAUAUAUAAAUAUAUAUAUAUAUAUAUAUAUAGAGAGAGAGAGAGAGAGAGAAAGUUAUCAGAAUUUUGGAAGCAAAAAAUCUUUUUAUUUCUUCAUUAUUAUUAGUGCUUUUGUUCAUUUCUCGAACAUGUCAAAUAAAAUUUUGUGAAUGUACAAACAGCUUGUUCAUUGACAUAAGACAGAUGAUUUUUUUGGGGGGUUUUGUUUAGAAGAAGAGAACAUCGUUUUUGUUGUUUUAGGUGAGGUUCCAUGAGAGUGGAGAUAGAUAGAUAGAAAUAUAUGUAGGUAGAUAGAAAUAUAGGUAGGUUGAUAGAUAGAUAGUUAAAGAGAAGGAGCAAGAGAAGGAGGGACCCUCCUUCCUAUUCACCAUUCAUUUAUUUAUUUAGUCAUUUACCAUUGUAUUGGAAUGGUUUUAUGGAUGGUGGCCUAUAUAUAAAUGUGUAUAUAUUAGUAUAUUCGUGUGUGUGUGUGUAUAUAUAUAUAUAUAUAUAUAUUAAAUAUAUAUAUAUAUAUAUAUAUAUAUACAUACAUGCACACACACACACAUAUAUAUAUAUGUUGUUAGAUAUGUUAUACAUACAUCUUUAUAUAUAUGUUAUAUAUAUAUAUGCUUAUAUAUAUUUAUAUAUCAUUUGUAUAUAUAUAUAUAUAUAUAUAUAUAUACAUAUAACUAUGUUAUAUAUAAACAUUUCUAAGAGACUGACUAAAGUAAAACUUCAUUAAGAACUAAAAUUUGGGUACAAACUGUUAAACCUGCUAAAAAGUGUCUUUUAUUUUUGACUCACCAAAAUUCUUUCUAAUAUUUCUAAUAUUUGAUAAGAUGGAUACAUUGAAACCAAUAAUAUUUUAUUAAACAUUCUCUAAAAUAUACUUCUGUUCCUUUUCCAUCUGCAUUUACGUUUUUAACUGUAAUUUUUGAUUUGUAUGGACUCCUAACCACUUUUCACCAAUAUGUAACUUUAGAUCUAGGCUCUAGUACAUACAGGCCCUAUCACAAGUCAAAUGAGAAGCUGUCCUAUAUUAGCACAGCCUCUUGUGGCCCAACUGUAGUUUUCAAGAACCUAAUGAAAAGUGUAAGCAAGUGGAUCUCGAAUCUAUCCUCUAGCCAAGAUAUCUUUGACACCACUGUCCCCUACUAUAAUGAGGUACUGGUAUGAAGUGGAUUUAAGGACCACAUCUAUAUGCCAGGCAUUAGCACCCUGAAAAGGAGGCACCACAGAAAAGAUAUUUGGUUUGCUCCACCCUUUUUGCUCAACAUCAAUAUUUGUGUGGGAAGGAUUUUCAUUAACUUAAUAGAUAAACAUUUCACAUGCACACAUGGAUACAGGAAAUUACAUAACAGGCACAACCUAGGAAUCUCCUUUAGUUAUCCACCUAACAUAAAAAGCAUUUUAACAAGCACCCACAUUAUAAAGGAGGAGGCAGGUUACUCUUGCAGUAUAUACAAUAACUGUCCAGUAGGAGGUCAAUGCAAGGCUAAAGGAAUCAUCUAUAAAGCUGCAGUGACACCUAGACCUGUUAACUGCAUUACUAGCAAUGUACCAUCCAAGAGCAAUAAUAGCAGAUUAAUCAGGUCUCUCCAUAGCCAGAGAUGAUGAUCAGCCUGGGGCCAGCAACACAGAGGAAGUGCCCGGCGACCCCAGUACUACAGCCAAAGAUGAUGAACAAACCAUUAUCAUUGAUCCCGAUAGUGACCAGGCCUGCACCAUAUUUUACCAGUUGUACAAUCACCACACCUAGAGAUGAUGACCAAUCCGGGAACAGCAACACAGAGCUAUCUGGCAUCCCCAGUACCACCACCACAGAUAAUAACUAAACAAUUAUUACUAACACCAAUGAGAUGACUGGCACCAUACCGUAUGUUCCCACCAGCCGUACCCACACUCAUGUUGGCAGCUACUUCACCAGCCAUAUGACCAGAAACUAUAAUCCCAUCAGUAACACCACUGGGUCAUUGCAUCAUAUUGACAAUGUUAGCAACAGUGUUACCAACAGCAUUCCCAGUCCUGGAGCCUACCAGAGAUAUAUCAAGAGUGCAAAUAUAGCCACAUCCCAAGUUUGUAAAUAUAUUGGAUCAGCCAAUACAUCUUUCAAAUGUUGCUUCCGCAACCACCAAUAAUCCUUCAGAGUCCCAGAAAGAUGUCUUGUCAUGUCCCUGGCCAGCCAUGUGUGGCACCUCAAAGAUCAAGGGACCCCAUGUGAUAUCAAGUGGGAAAUAAUAGAUCAUCCAGGCCCAUAUAUUAAUGGGAGUGGCCAUUGCAAAAUCUGCAUCAUGGAGAGAACCAAAAUUCUUAUGGACUAUGCUAAAUCUGGUGUGUUGAAUAGUUGUAAAUAGUUUUCUCUAAAUGUGUCCAUAUCAGGCCUAUUGGAUAAUUGGAUCUCCCAUUUGCUGGUUAGGCUAUUUCGGGUCUGUAAGGGGUUUUAUCCUCUGGUCCAGGGGAGAUAACUCGCCCUCAUUAACAGUUUUAUACAUUAGCCAUUAAAUCUCGAUAUCUGAGCAUUUCCUCACGUUCACUGGUAGAAAGCUUAAUUUUUUUGUCCAUAAAGUUGUGGAUAUUUUGGAUAUAGAACCUUUAGUAACUCUAUGACCAAAUUUUAACUUUUUGUUUUAAUAUAUAUAUAUAUAUAUAUAUAUAUAUAUAUAUAUAUAUAUGAGAUUGUCUAUGUGUGUGUGUCUUUGUUUUGUAACAUUAGCCAUUCAAAAAUUAGAAAUUAUUAAAUUAAAUACCAAGGUUAAAAAUAAGUGAGGAUAUUGACUUAAUUGACUAAACACUGGUGCUUCAGCAUGGCUGCAGUCUGAAACCAGGAGCAUUAUAAAAGUAAAUAAGCAUAUGUCUAUCUAACUAGCUAUAUGUAUGUGUAUGUGUGUAUGUUUGCAUAUAUAUAUAUCAUGUUUGUCUAUCUGUGUGCAUGCAUCCAGUUAUAAAUGUGUCUCUUUUUUUAUGCAUUAAUAAUUUUUUGUUAUAUAUAUUUAUAUUACAGGAAAUACUGCUGGUAGAAAUGAAUAGCGAGAUUGAUCUUCCAAAUGGAGCUAAAAAUUAUUUACUUACUGCUGAGACUACUGGUGAGUUAAAAACUUUUAUAACUGCAAGUUUGCUCAUAAAUACAAUUUAUAAACCUCUUUAUAUGCUUUAAAAUAGACAGGUUUUUGUGUCCAUUUAUGAAUACAUAAAAUUGAUGUUUUUCUUUCAGCUCACUAACCUAUGUUAACUAUAUUGUAGACACCCUUUGAUCUUCAUUAUGUUUCUAUGUUUUAGCAUUUGACUUCUGACAAAAAAUAUAUUUAACUCAAGUUCAUCAUUCUUUGAAGAAGAUAACAAUCACAUGAAAAAAAAAGCAAAAUGACGAUUAAAAGAUACUUAAUUGUCAAAAGUUACUUUUACAUGAACACUACUGUUUAUUUUAUUUCAUUUUAAGCCUAAUGUUUAGAGUGUCUUCAAUGAAGGCCAUUGAAAUUAAGUAGCUAAUUGACUUACCAGGAAUAAUAUUGAAAAUAACAUACUGUUGCUUGAAAAUGUGUCUGCAGGUUAAAAACCACUGAGGCAGUUGAUAACUGUGUAUACUCAUGUUUAUAUUUAGAUGCAUACAUGUGUGUAUUUGGAUAUUUUUGUAUACUACUAGGUGAUGUAUGAAGUCAGGAGUCAGUUCUUAUUGAGCACUGCUUUCAAUGAAAGCAAAGAAUCCUUGGCCACCCUGCCUUAAUUUCAGAAACAGUAUUCCCUAGCUUACAUUAUUCAACGUGCUCUACUUUUUCGAAAGAUUGUAGAGUGAUUGAUUUAGAUGCUCUUUCUAGCUGUUGGAUCAAGCAUGUAGAGACUCCUCUGUGGGUUUCUUGUAUACUUAUGUGCGUUUAUGUGUAUGCUGAAUAUGUUCAUUUUGAGUCAGUUCAUUAUACUUAAAAGUGUUUUCAAACAAUUUUUUUUUGGUUUCUCUAUGUAAGAAUAAAGAUAUCUGUAUUCAUUUAUAAUGAAUAAUUGGAAGAAAAAAAAGUCUGAGAAAGAUGAGUAAUGAUUUGCAAUAUUCAAGAAUACCUUCUCAGUUAUGCUAACUUCCCAAAGCAUAUGUUUGCACAUAACUAGGUGCCUCACUCAAUCUCCCUGCCGACUCAUCCCCAUCUCCACCCAGACAUCUGGUUCCCUCUCCUAAGCCAUUCUCUGUUGAUGUUCAUCCCUCAUUCAUAUCAUUGACCAUCCUCGCCUUAUUUAUUCCAUAUCUCACUGUACUCCACACACUUGCAACCUUUAACCCCUCCUCUCCUUUCCCUUUCACUCAUCCCUCUGUCAUUCUUCUAUCUGCUGUAUUACUUUGCAGCUGUAAGUAAUGAAAGCUACAAACCCUAUCACAUUGCCAUUUCUGUACUGCUAGUCAUUCCCUAUCUUCCAAGUUACUUCCAAUUUUCAUCCCUCUUCCUUUUUUAUCAUUAUCCCUCAUUUAUAUUACCCUCAGUGACCAACAUUCCUGUUCCUCAUUCCCAACAUUCAUUCUCUGUACUCAAUUGAUCACCUCCAUCCAUGUUUCUAUCCAUUUCACAUUUUCCUCAUCUAUUUUUCUUCACACUCUCUGAUAAUCAUCUUCUUGGACAUGUUACCUUGAUAUUACAUUCUAGUACUACCAGGGCUGUCUUAGCAGCAUUAUAGGCCAUGGGCAGAUCAUUACACUAGACCUUAUAGUGUUUAUUUAUUCACUACAAGCCACAGCACACAUAAAUUAUAAUUGAGCCCCUACACCCAUAAGGGCCCCAGGCAACUGGUGAGUGUGCUCAUGCUUUAAGACAGCACUGAUCACCACUAUAUUUAUCUCUUAUCAGCACCAUACAUUCUACUGCCAAACACCAGUGUAUAAGAUGAGGUAGCCAUGAAUCUUCUAUUAAGCAAUAAACCAGUUCUUGUUCUCCCUGUCCUCAGAACAGAAAAGAACAUAGCUAAAUAUGGCCAGGCAUUUUAUGCUGUAUUCUUCAGAGUUACUAUUCACUAUUCUAAGUUCUAUAAAAUAUUAGGAUACAUAUGUUCUGAUUCAAACAAUGAUUAUAUGCACAGGUGUGGCUGUGUGGUAAGAAGUUUUCUUACCAACCACAUGAUUCAGUCCCAUUAUUGUGACAUCUUGAACAAGUGUCUUUUACUAUUACCUCAGGCUAACCAAAGCCUUGUGAGUAGAUUUGGUUUUACAGAAACUGAAAGAAGUCUGUCAUGUGUGUGUGUGUAUGUGUGUGUGUGUUUGUCCCACAUCACCAUCUGACAAUUGGUCUUGGUUUACAUCCCUUGUUUACAUCCCUGUAACUUAGCAGUUCAGCAAAAGACACCAAUGGAAUAAGUACCAUGCAUAAAAAAAAAAGAAUUUCUUGAGUCAAUUCAUUCGGCUAAAAGUUCUUCAAGUGGUGCUCUCACAUGGCCACAAUCUAAUGGCUGAAACACAUAAAAGAAAAGAAUUCUUUUAGCCUAUUCAUAUCUCAUUUAUUUUAAGAAAGCAAUUAUGAUCUUAUUCACUAACCUGCACUUCUUUGUUAUAAAUGUUUUGUUAAUUUAGGUAAUGAAAUAUUAUUUCUUUAGGGCAUAGGGCAUAUUUGUUUGUAUUGUACAGUGGGUUACUGUUUAACGAACGAUCUGAAGUGCAUUUAUUUUGCUCGUAGAUAUAUGUCAGACAUGUACUUUUGCUGGUGUUGCAGAUGCAUAGAAACAAUUAGUCACUAUCUUGAGGUAGAAUCUCUAGAACUGAAGGCAUGGGGUAAUCAAAACUAUUUUCUUUAUUCUUAAACUCAGAGAAGAGAACAUCUUUUGAAAAAUCAUUUCAAGACGAUAAUGCACAACAGCAUGAAGGCAAGAUAGACAGAAUGUACCAAGAGAUGUAGUUUCUAUUUUGCCUAUUAAUGUUUUGGAGAGAUUGGAUCUGGAAUACAGUUAUAAUUUGUAUAUUAUUAAGUGGUUUUAAAUAUUAGAGUGCUGAGGCUUUAAGUGUGUUAAGAAGAUUAUUUGGUGUAAAUUGUAAUUAUAAUGGGCAAGUUUUCUAUGUAAUUCCUUCGUAGAAGUUAUAGUGACCAGAAUACUGUGGGCAUUAAAAAUAUCUGGAUAUUUUUAUCUCAUAAGAGCAUUCAUUCUAUCUAAAAGAGAGUGAACAAAUAAUUUUUGAGCAAAAUACUUACUGUGUAAUAGAAGACAUUAGUUUAAUGUUCCUACUAUUUUUUCCUUACUUCUUUCCUUGAUUUUAUAUAUUUCUUAUGAGAUAAAAAUAGGUUCUCAAAUGAGAAAUAUAGGUCUAAAUGUUUACAAUAGUACUAUUUAAAACAUUAAAGGAAAACCUUUUGAAAAUGUCUGCUAGUAUUACUAUUAUCACGUGAUCACGUGACCGACCAGACCAUCAGGUGUUGUUACACAUCGCUGGUCACAAUGCGUUUGCAUUGUUUUAGCCUUCGAAUGAUGCCACCCCACUGGCUAAGUGAGCAGGCCAACAGAAGAAAGAGUGGGAGAAAGAGUGGUGAAAGAGUACAGCAGGGAUCACCACCCCCUGCUGGAGCCUCGUGGAGCUUUUAGGUGUUUUCGCUCAAUAAACACUCACAACGCCCGGUCUGGGAAUCAAAACCGUGAUCCUGCGACUGCGAGUCCACUGCCCUAACCACUAGGCCAUUGCGCCUCCACAUUACUAUUAUAGUUAGAACAAUUCAAAGAAAGAUUUAAAAAUUAUAAUUUCCAUUUUAAGAAUUAAAUUUUUUUUCUACAUAUCUAUUUUUGUUAAUAUAACUUAAAAUAAACAUGACAAUACAUUAAAAAGUAAUAACAAUUCUAAGUUAGCAGUGAUUGAAAAGUAUUUACCAUUAAAACCCAUGUAAUUUGUGCACCUGUGUAAUUUAUACAGGUGAUUUUCAAGAUAAAAUUUGUUAAAAAAAAGCUUCUAUUCCUGUAAAAUUUGCACCCAAAAGUUUUCAGAAUUGCCAAUAUAGCCAAGGGAAAAAGGUUUUCAAUUUAGUUGUAUUUAGCAUAAUUUAACUUACUUAUGAUUAGAUUUUAUCAAAUUUUCAUUAAAUAAAAAUAAUUUCUGUUUAACAGGUAUUACUUUGAAAGCAAUUAAAUUAUAAAAUGUUUGUGUUGUUUAUAAUAAACUUUAUUUUUCAUUUCUUGCUCACAAGAGAUUAUGUUCAAUCUUUAGUAUACUGCUGUAUGUCUUCUCAAAUCACAAUCAGAGGAAAAGUUGUUGAUAAGAAUUACUCACAAAACAAAGCUGACAAAUAUGCACAGGUGUUGAAAUUAAGUCUAAUUACCAAUAAGCAUCACCUUGGAUGACACUUUACUCAACUGACAGAGGAAGGUGACCAAUCAAACUCAUUAUGUAAACAGAAUUUUUUUCUGCCUAUUCUUCUGGGAACCUUUGAUACGGAGUAUUGAAAUUUUAAUCCCUUUCACACUUAUAAAAUGUCAAGCAAACUUUAAAGUUUGUCAUUACCAUUAUUGUCAGUAUGGGCAGAACUUAUGAAUUGUUUACUGCAAAUGAGAAAUUAAAUAUGUUGAAUAUGCAUUUGAAUGUGACAAUAGAGCUGCCAGAAGGUAUUUUAAUGUUAAUGAAGCCAGUGUUCGAAAUUGGUGUAAAUAGUACAACAAACUUAAAACUGUGCUCUAGUAUU
rnacentral:lncRNA from 1 species